UUGCCCCUGAAUCAAGGCCAGCAGUCUGCUGAAGUUGUUGGUUUCAAGCAUGUGCCUAAAGAAUUAUCUAUCUAUGGUCUGUUGGCCAUUUCAGAACUUUGGAAAUGUAAUGGUCAAUUCAUUAGAAAGAAACAGUA
ensembl:snoRNA